rnacentral:lncRNA from 1 species
CUCUUAUUGGUUAAUGAAUAAAGCACUGUUCAGCCAAUGAGGCAGAAAGAUAGGUGGGACUAGGAGUCGAGGAGGAUUCUGGGAAAUGUAGUAAAAAGUCUUGUGAUCCAGGCAGGAAGUGACAAAGCAGGCAGACUCAGAAUGUAGGCAGGGACAGGCAGGAAGUCGCUCUCUUCCUCUUUCUCUCUUCUCUGGUGCCACCAUGUGAGCCUGACAAGAGAGGACUCAAGCUGCUGGCAUCCUUGAUCAGAUAAGUCUUUAUAAAUAUAUAGGAAGGAAUCCCAGUCAUUGUACCCAAUGUAAAGUCUCUGUGUAUUAUUUGGGGCCCUAACACAGUGGGCAGAACUCAACUGGAACUCGGGCAACUGGUGAAAAGAUUUAUUGUUACAAAGGACUCCCAUGAAUUAGGUUCACAGAGAUAACAUGGGAUGAGCACACUAGAGAGCCAGGCUUGUCCGACGAAGAAGCUGCUGAUGGUGGCCGUGAACAUAAGCUUUUGUGUUCUGCACAAAGAUGCCUUCCAACACACUUGACUCAUAGAAGAUACAGGAGCUAUUGAUGAAGAUGCUGG